rnacentral:rRNA from 1 species
ACGGAAGGCAGCAGUGGGGAAUAUUGCACAAUGGGGGAAACCCUGAUGCAGCGACGCCGCGUGAGUGAAGAAGUAUUUCGGUAUGUAAAGCUCUAUCAGCAGGAAAGAAAAUGACGGUACCUGACUAAGAAGCCCCGGCUAACUACGUGCCAGCAGCCGCGGUAAUACGUAGGGGGCAAGCGUUAUCCGGAUUUAUUGGGUUUAAAGGGUGCGCAGGCGGAUCGGUAAGUCAGGGGUGAAAAGUUGGGGCUCAACUCCAAUCGUGCCUUUGAUACUGCCGGACUAGAGUGCGAUAGACGUGGCCGGAAUGUGAUGUGUAGCGGUGAAAUGCUUAGAUAUGUCACAGAACACCGAUCGAGAAGUCAGGUCACGAGCUCGCAACUGACGCUCAGGCACGAAAGCGUGGGGAUCAAACAGGAUUAGAUACCCUGGUA